rnacentral:lncRNA from 1 species
CAUCAUUACAGAGCAUGCCCAGGCCUGUUUUGAUAAACAUGCACUGAACAUUCUCAGGGUAGGAAUACAGAGAUGGGUCAGACAAAGAGCUGAACUCAAAGACCCUACAUCCUACAGGAGAAGAGAUGGAAACUGCAUUUGCUAACAUAUAAAAGAAGGAAAACUGCAGGGUCAUCGCCUUGACAGACUGGAAGGGAGUCCCAGAGAAGGGUGUCUGCUGGGUGUCCGGUAUCUACAUCUCCCUUUUGCUUAGUCACCUGUAUCCAUGACAAGCGCCUAAGGGUCUUAGACUACAACCUGUCUAGAGAAGCAAGUAGCUCUAACAUCAACUUGGGUGGAGGGGAAAAACUGAGAGGUAAGUUAUAAAGAGGAGCUUACCAAGCAGGUCCUUUUCUGAGAUCCCCGGCUGGCAUAGAUUAAUGGAAAGAACUCUCUUUUCCAGAGCAACUAUGUCACCCAGGGAGAGAGUUGCAAGAUAAAAUAAGGGAACACGAUUAUAUUUGAAUUUCAGAUAAACAACAAACAAUUUCUUAGCACAAAUGUAUUCAGAUGGCA